rnacentral:rRNA from 1 species
AUUGAACGCUGGCGGCAUGCCUUACACAUGCAAGUCGAACGGCAGCACGGGUGCUUGCACCUGGUGGCGAGUGGCGAACGGGUGAGUACUGCAUCGGAACGUACCUUAUCGUGGGGGAUAACGCAGCGAAAGCUGUGCUAAUACCGCAUACGCCCUGAGGGGGAAAGCGGGGGAUCGCAAGACCUCGCGCGAUUAGAGCGGCCGAUGCCUGAUUAGCUUGUUGGUGGGGUAAAAGCCCACCAAGGCGACGAUCAGUAGCUGGUCUGAGAGGACGAUAAGCCACCCUGGAACUGGGACACGGCCCAGACUCCUACGGGAGGCAGCAGUGGGGAAUUUUGGACAAUGGGGGCAACCCUGAUCCAGCAAUGCCGCGUGAGUGAAGAAGGCCUUCGGGUUGUAAAGCUCUUUUGUCAGGGAAGAAACACCGGCUCUAACACAGUCCGGGAAUGACGGUACCUGAAGAAUAAGCACCGGCUAACUACGUGCCAGCAGCCGCCGCUG